GAUGAACGCUAGCUACAGGCUUAACACAUGCAAGUCGAGGGGCAGCACAGUGUAGCAAUACACGGGUGGCGACCGGCGCACGGGUGCGUAACGCGUAUCCAACCUUCCCGUUACUCUCGGAUAGCCUUCCGAAAGGGAGAUUAAUACGAGAUGGUGUUGAAAUUCCGCAUGUUAUUUCAACUAAAGAUUCAUCGGUAACGGAUGGGGAUGCGUGACAUUAGGUAGAUGGCGGGGUAACGGCCCACCAUGCCCACGAUGUCUAGGGGUUCUGAGAGGAAGGUCCCCCACACUGGAACUGAGACACGGUCCAGACUCCUACGGGAGGCAGCAGUGAGGAAUAUUGGUCAAUGGCCGGAAGGCUGAACCAGCCAAGUAGCGUGAAGGAUGAAGGUUCUAUGGAUUGUAAACUUCUUUUAUACGGGAAUAAAACCACCUACGUGUAGGUGCUUGUAUGUACCGUAUGAAUAAGCAUCGGCUAACUCCGUGCCAGCCGCCGCAGUAAUAC
rnacentral:rRNA from 1 species